rnacentral:rRNA from 1 species
GAUGAACGCUAGCGGCAGGCUUAACACAUGCAAGUCGAGGGGUAUAGGUUUUCGGACCUAGAGACCGGCGCACGGGUGCGUAACGCGUAUGCAAUCUACCUUUCACAGAGGGAUAGCCCAGAGAAAUUUGGAUUAAUACCUCAUAGUAUAAUGACUCGGCAUCGAGACAUUAUUAAAGUCACAACGGUGAAAGAUGAGCAUGCGUCCCAUUAGCUAGUUGGUAAGGUAACGGCUUACCAAGGCGACGAUGGGUAGGGGUCCUGAGAGGGAGAUCCCCCACACUGGUACUGAGACACGGACCAGACUCCUACGGGAGGCAGCAGUGAGGAAUAUUGGACAAUGGGCGCAAGCCUGAUCCAGCCAUGCCGCGUGCAGGAUGACGGUCCUAUGGAUUGUAAACUGCUUUUGCACAGGAAGAAACAACGCUACGUGUAGCGUCUUGACGGUACUGUGAGAAUAAGGAUCGGCUAACUCCGUG